UACGGGGGGGGCAAGCGUUGUCCGGAAUCAUUGGGCGUAAAGAGCGUGUAGGCGGCCACUUAAGUCCUGCGUGAAAUCUUGCGGCUCAACCGCAAGCGGUCGUGGGAAACUGGGUGGCUAGAGUGCGGGAGAGGAGAGUGGAAUUCCUGGUGUAGCGGUGGAAUGCGCAGAUAUCAGGAAGAACACCCGUGGCGAAGGCGGCUCUCUGGAACGCAACUGACGCUGAGACGCGAAAGCGUGGGGAGCAAACAGG
rnacentral:rRNA from 1 species